rnacentral:rRNA from 1 species
GAGUUUGAUCUUGGCUCAGAUUGAACGCUGGCGGCAUGCCUUACACAUGCAAGUCGAACGGCAGCACGGGAGCUUGCUCCUGGUGGCGAGUAGCGAACGGGUGAGUAAUGCAUCGGAACGUAUCCUGGAGUGGGGGAUAACGUAGCGAAAGUUACGCUAAUACCGCAUAUUCUGUGAGCAGGAAAGCGGGGGACCUUCGGGCCUCGCGCUCUUGGAGCGGCCGAUGUCGGAUUAGCUAGUUGGUGAGGUAAAGGCUCACCAAGGCGACGAUCCGUAGCAGGUCUGAGAGGAUGAUCUGCCACACUGGAACUGAGACACGGUCCAGACUCCUACGGGAGGCAGCAGUGGGGAAUUUUGGACAAUGGGGGCAACCCUGAUCCAGCCAUGCCGCGUGAGUGAAGAAGGCCUCGGUUGUAAGU